GUGGCGGCGUGCUUAACACAUGCAAGUCGAGCGGUAAGGCCCUUCGGGGUACACGAGCGGCGAACGGGUGAGUAACACGUGGGCAACCUGCCCUGCACUCUGGGAUAAGCCUGGGAAACUGGGUCUAAUACCGGAUAGGACCUGUCCUCGCAUGAGGUGGGUGGAAAGUUCCGGCGGUGCAGGAUGGGCCCGCGGCCUAUCAGCUUGUUGGUGGGGUAGUGGCCUACCAAGGCGACGACGGGUAGCCGGCCUGAGAGGGCGACCGGCCACACUGGGACUGAGACACGGCCCAGACUCCUACGGGAGGCAGCAGUGGGGAAUAUUGCGCAAUGGGCGAAAGCCUGACGCAGCGACGCCGCGUGAGGGAUGACGGCCUUCGGGUUGUAAACCUCUUUCAGCGCCGACGAAGCGAAGUGACGGUAGGCGCAGAAGAAGCACCGGCUAACUACGUGCCAGCAGCCGCGGUAAUACGUAGGGUGCGAGCGUUGUCCGGAAUUAUUGGGCGUAAAGAGCUCGUAGGCGGUUUGUUGCGUCGGCCGUGAAAACCUGGGGCUUAACUCCGGGCUUGCGGUCGAUACGGGCAGACUUGAGUUCGGCAGGGGAGACUGGAAUUCCUGGUGUAGCGGUGAAAUGCGCAGAUAUCAGGAGGAACACCGGUGGCGAAGGCGGGUCUCUGGGCCGAUACUGACGCUGAGGAGCGAAAGCGUGGGGAGCGAACAGGAUUAGAUACCCUGGUAGUCCACGCCGUAAACGUUGGGCGCUAGGUGUGGGGCUCAUUCCACGGGUUCCGUGCCGUAGCUAACGCAUUAAGCGCCCCGCCUGGGGAGUACGG
rnacentral:rRNA from 1 species